CCUACGGGUGGCUGCAGUGGGGAAUAUUGGGCAAUGGUGGCAACUCUGAACCAGCAACGCCGCGUGAAUGAUGAAGGUCUUCGGAUUGUAAAGUUCUGUGAUGGGGGAUGAACACAAUGACGGUACCCCAAUAGCAAGCCACGGCUAAUUACGUGCCAGCAGCCGCGGUAAUACGUAGGUGGCAAGCGUUAUCCGGAAGGACUGGGCGUAAAGGGUGCGUGGGUGGUUUAGUAAGUUGGCGGUGUAAUGCCGGGGAUCAACCUCGGCGGUAGCGCAACAACUAUUAGACUAGAGUGCAGGAGGGGUAAGUGGAAUUCGUGGUGUAGCGGUGGAAUGCGUAGAUAUUAGGAGGAACACCAGGGGCGAAGGCGACAUACUGGACCGUAACUGACGCUGAGGCACGAAAGCGUGGGGAGCGAACAGGAUUAGAUACCCUAGUAGUC
rnacentral:rRNA from 1 species